rnacentral:rRNA from 1 species
CCUACGGGCGGCACCAGUGGGGAAUAUUGCACAAUGGGCGCAAGCCUGAUGCAGCCACGCCGCGUGUAUGAAGAAGGCCUUCGGGUUGUAAAGUACUUUCAGCGGGGAGGAAGGUGUUGUGGUUAAUAACCACAGCAAUUGACGUCACCCGCAGAAGAAGCACCGGCUAACCCCGUGCCAGCAGCCGCGGUAAUACGGAGGGUGCAAGCGUUAAACGGAAUUACUGGGCGUAAAGCGCACGCAGGCGGUCUGUCAAUCGGAUGUGAAAUCCCCGGGCUCAACCUGGGAACUGCAUUCGAAACUGGCAGGCUAGAGUCUUGUAGAGGGGGGUAGAAUUCCAGGUGUAGCGGUGAAAUGCGUAGAGAUCUGGAGGAAUACCGGUGGCGAAGGCGGCCCCCUGGACAAAGACUGACGCUCAGGUGCGAAAGCGUGGGGAGCAAACAGGAUUAGAUACCCUCGUAGUC